ACCCUGUAUGUAUUCUCUAAGAAAACAGCUUGGUAUGAUCUGAUGGCAGAGGUUAAUCUUUUGUUAUUUCUUCCCAAGGAUUUCUGUCAGUGUUUGGACUGAGCUCUGUGGAAAGACGCAGGAGAAGGAAGGAUGCAGAUGACGACAAUUAAGAAAGGAGGCUAUGCCAUUUGUGUAAAAGAUAAACAAAGACUAAAACUAAUUACUGCUGGAGUGAAUCCAGAGAGAAAAGGGGACAUGAAAAGUUGUGAAGAAUUGAUGACAGACUCCUUGAGAGUGAGCAAAAUAAAAUUGACCAUGAAAUCUGGAACUUGGAAUUAAAUUGGCUGGAAGAAGAGACAACAAAUGGAGAAAAGGAGGCAAAUCUAGCAAAGACUCUUGGAAACACAAUUACCGAUCAGGAAACUGAAGUAUGCCGCAAUCAUCACAGCUCUAAGCAAGGCUGUCUUCUUCUUAAUGAAGACUGCUGCUCUUCGGAUUUCAAGCUGCAAUGCUCUCGGAUGUGUUCUGAAAUGGAGAGGGAGGCUAAGAGGCGGUGGAACGGUAAAGCUUGAUGGAUAUCGAGCCGGCACCACAAAAAAAAACGUUAUGCUCCCAAGACGGAUUUUACAAUCAGUGCCUCACUU